AUGGAAAAAGCGAAAGGUAUUUUACGGUCUCUUUUGCGUUCUUCUUCUGUUACUUGCAUAUUUUCUGUGGUAUCAUUCAAGUCAUCUACUGAUGUCUUCCUUGGGUUUCUCUCAAAAGCGAAAGGUAAAAACAACAUGAUAGCAAACGAGUAUGGAAAAAGCACAAUCAUUUUACCUUCUAUAUUUUUAUCUGCAAUUACAUCAGACGUGCCCGUAGCUUUAGGAGGAUAUGUUGAUUCAUUAUGCGGGAUUGAUGUAUCAACCGAGCUAGCUGGGUCAUCUAAUAUAACAUGCUUGGUUAGUAUUUAUUAA
rnacentral:rRNA from 1 species